CAGAGAUGAAAGUGGUGGGUGUGCUCUCCACAUAAUUAGGAACUACGAUGGCCAGAAGCUCAAAAUCCCCCUGACCAAGUACAACGCUGGCAGAACAAAAAGGCAAGCACUUCAUGAGUGCAUCAAGCUGCAGGGGAACUCAUCAAAGUUGGCGCAUGAGGCUCUGUGGACUGUCCUGGCGCCAACGGACUCAUGGGUUGAUUCAAUCCACUCCGGAUAUUCCAGGACAACUUGUUGGAACUGCGUCAGCCGAACAUCACUUCGUGUUUCGAAACCUUUUGCUCUCCCCUGGCCGUCACCGCCAUCUGUGCGACAUAGUCAGGUGCAACAAUCAUUAAGAUGGACGACGAAAUUCAUAGUGGGAUAUCAGGUUCUCAUUUAUGGACAUUUACCUCCAUCAUCCCGACGGAAAGAAGGACCAGGAUGGCAGUUUGUUUGGACAUCCAACACAUGUGCUCGAUCUGGUUCUGGCUGCUCUGUAUGGGCAACGUCUCUGGGAGUUGUAGGAGGCGCUGCAAUAGCAUCCGAGGAGGUCAGCUGGCACGCAUUACUCCUAUGUCCACCUGUAGUCCUUCUUCCACCCUCGUUGGCACCGCUACAGCUGUGAAGGUACAUGAGGACAGCUUUGCUGUAAUGUGGAUGCCGAACCAUCACCCACAGUGCGCAAUCCGCUUCUACGAGGUUCACCGUCAUCCGUAUCUGUGUCAGACGACCAAAUGAUCAUUUUUCAUUAGAACUCAAAUAAAUGACAAGAGGGAGACAGUAAAUGCACAGCGUAAUUUUGCGGCAAUUACCUCCGUUUUCACGAUGAAAGGAAAGACCAGGACGACAGGUUGCAGCAAUAUCAAAGGCACGUGCACGUGCCCUCCGUUGCUCAAGGGAACGGUUCUCAUUUCCAUCGCGUUCACCACCUGAAUUGUCAUCAACGCCAUGCCAGCCUAGAAAGAUGAGGCCGUUCAAUGGUGGGUCUUCGUCCAACUCAUCUCCUUCCCUUCCGCUUCCAACUACCAACACGGCUGCAUUAUGCACAAAAACCAGUCGAUCGGCACUUGUGAUGCCACGGCAAGGAACUCUUCAUCCAAGUCUGGAACAAACAUACUAUCGUAGGCACCCCCGGUGGAACAUAUGACAACUCGUCGUCUACAUCUGCAAAACCAGGAUUCCUCCAGGACCCCCAACCACAGCAUGCCAGACAUUGUUAUCCUGGUCGAAUGCAUCAGAAGGCCUUGUCUGAUGGGUAUGAACACAUCAAGUUCAAAUUAAUAUCAGUUCCCAUGAUCGCCAAGUAUUUUUUUCAUAGCUGCAAUUGGUUUUCAUUUGCUACUUAAUUGCAAGAACACAGCAGCACUUACAGGGAAUACAGUUGGGUACUCUCUUGUAAGGUAGAUUAGCCUCCUGAACACCUGCCCGGUGUAAACGCUGAUCCGGGGGAGAGUGUAUGGCUCUACACUAUCUGGUCCAAAGUCCAUCCAGUCGAAGAACCAUGGCUGCAAACAAUCAUGGGUAACAA